UAAUCAGAGAAGGUAAUAAUCCUGUAGUCGAAAACGAAUUCUCUCUUGAGUGGAUCCUGAGUACGACGGAGCACGUGAAAUUCCGUCGGAAUCUGGGAGGACCAUCUCCUAAGGCUAAAUACUCUCUAGUGACCGAUAGUGAACCAGUACCGUGAGGGAAAGGUGAAAAGUACCCCGGAAGGGGAGUGAAAGAGAACUUGAAACCGUGUGCUUACAAGUAGUCAGAGCCCGUUAAUGGGUGAUGGCGUGCCUUUUGUAGAAUGAACCGGCGAGUUACGAUCUGAUGCAAGGUUAAGCAGAAAAUGUGGAGCCGUAGCGAAAGCGAGUCUGAAUAGGGCGAAUGAGUAUUUGGUCGUAGACCCGAAACCAGGUGAUCUACCCUUGGUCAGGUUGAAGUUCAGGUAACACUGAAUGGAGGACCGAACCGACUUACGUUGAAAAGUGAGCGGAUGAACUGAGGGUAGCGGAGAAAUUCCAAUCGAACUUGGAGAUAGCUGGUUCUCUCCGAAAUAGCUUUAGGGCUAGCCUCAAGUGAUGAUUAUUGGAGGUAGAGCACUGUUUGGACGAGGGGCCCCUCUCGGGUUACCGAAUUCAGACAAACUCCGAAUGCCAAAUAAUUUAACUUGGGAGUCAGAAUGUGGGUGAUAAGGUCCAUAUUCGAAAGGGAAACAGCCCAGACCACCAGCUAAGGUCCCAAAAUAUAUGUUAAGUGGAAAAGGAUGUGGCGUUGCCCAGACAACUAGGAUGUUGGCUUAGAAGCAGCCAUCAUUUAAAGAGUGCGUAAUAGCUCACUAGUCGAGUGACACUGCGCCGAAAAUGUACCGGGGCUAAACAUAU
rnacentral:rRNA from 1 species